rnacentral:rRNA from 1 species
CCUACGUGAGGCAGCAGUGAGGAAUAUUGGUCAAUGGGCGCGAGCCUGAACCAGCCAAGUAGCGUGAAGGAUGACUGCCCUACGGGUUGUAAACUUCUUUUAUAAAGGAAUAAAGUGAGGCACGUGUGCCUUUUUGUAUGUACUUUAUGAAUAAGGAUCGGCUAAUUCCGUGCCAGCAGCCGCGGUAAUACGGAGGGUCCGGGCGUUAUCCGGAUUUAUUGGGUUUAAAGGGAGCGUAGACGGGUUGUUAAGUCUGUUGUGAAAGGGAGCGGCUCAACCGUAACACUGCAAGUGAUACUGGGAGGCUUGAGUGCAGUGGAGGGAGGCGGAAUUCGUGGUGUAGCGGUGAAAUGCUUAGAUAUCACGAAGAACUCCGAUUGCGAAGGCAGCCUACUAAACUGUCACUGACAUUGAUGCUCGAAAGUGUGGGUAUCAAACAGGAUUAGAUACCCGAGUAGUC